AUGGCGCGCCAGGCCCCGGCCGCUGGGCUGCGGGCCGUCGGCCGAGCGACGCGACACUCUCUCCGACCUCACUCGGGGCGCGCCGAUAAGCUUUGUUGCACCAUCUUGACGACGCUGCACUUCCACUGCGGCACUUCACUUCGCGUAUAAACACUUCGCGACUAGUGUUUUGUUACAUCGGUAGACUUUUCUUUGAAAAAUCAAUAUACAUUUUCCCAGAGUUUAGAUAUACGGACGAGUCGAUGUCCAGCGCAGGUUAGGGAUUGUUACUUCUUCGGAGGCACUUACUUCCCUUCACUAGAAUGGGUCGGCGAGCACGGUCUCAGCCACGAAGGAUUAACUUGAACUGACUUGUGAAGCCCAUUACGUAAUGCUUAACUUCAAUGAUUAAUCAAUGGUUUACUGAGGCAGCCGAUGUCUUCGGUCGUGUGAGGAAGCCGAAUUGAAUGAAGAAAAUGCGAUCCAGGGUUAAGUUGGAGGAGUUGAAUCUCACUUUAAACAUAAAAAGUGAAGAGAUCACACCUCCACUUAAUCUGUCACGCUUUUGUAUCACGCCGUACUGCUCCAACUGAAGAUUUUCCCGCGACCGCCGAAGCGUUGUGACGCGACUCCACGCGUGAGCUGGAAAGAUAGAUCUGGCAGCGAACCAUGAAACUGUCAAGAUCCCCUGUCCAACUCAGACAUGAAGCCAUUCUGCAGCCGAGACGAAUAUCGAACGCUGUAAAAUUAAUAAAACGUUAAUUUAAAGCAA